CAGUCGCCGCGGGAAUACGAAGGGUGCAAGCGUUAAUCGGAAUUACUGGGCGUAAAGCGUGCGUAGGCGGCGAUCAAAGUCAGGCGUGAAAUUCCUGGGCUCAACCUGGGGGCUGCGCUUGAUACUGGGUUGCUUGAGUGGGGAAGAGGGUCGUGGAAUUCCCAGUGUAGAGGUGAAAUUCGUAGAUAUUGGGAAGAACACCGGUGGCGAAGGCGGCGACCUGGUCCUUUACUGACGCUGAGGCGCGAAAGCGAGGGGAGCAAACAGGAUUAGAGACCCGAGUAGUCCCUGUCUCUUAUAC
rnacentral:rRNA from 1 species